rnacentral:tRNA from 2 species
GCCUUCUUAGCUCAGUGGUAGAGCGUUGGUCUCGUAAACCAAAGGUCGAGAGUUCAAUCCUCUCAGGAGGCA